rnacentral:rRNA from 1 species
CCUACGGGCGGCAGCAGUGGGGAAUAUUGCGCAAUUGGGGAAACCCUGACGCAGCAACGCCGCGUGAGUGAAGAAGGCCUUCGGGUUGUAAAGCUCUUUAAUCAGGGACGAAGAAUGACGGUACCUGAAGAAUAAGCUCCAGCUAACUACGUGCCAGCAGCCGCGGUAAUCCGUAGGGAGCAAGCGUUAUCAGGAUUUACUGGGUGUAAAGGGCGUGUAGGCGGGCUUGCAAGUCAGAAGUGAAAUCUGGGGGCUUAACCCCCAAACUGCUUUUGAAACUGUGGGUCUGGAGUGAUGGAGAGGCAGGCGGAAUUCCCAGUGUAGCGGUGAAAUGCGUAGAUAUUGGGAGGAACACCAGUGGCGAAGGCAGCAUACCGGCGCCCAACUGACGCUGAAGCACGAAAGCGUGGGUAUCGAACAGGAUUAGAUACCCGAGUAGUC